rnacentral:rRNA from 1 species
UACAGAGGUCCCGAGCGUUGUUCGGAUUCACUGGGCGUAAAGGGUGCGUAGGUGGCUUGAAAAGUUUGAUGUGAAAGCUCAGGGCUUAACCCUGAAAUGGCAUUGAAUACUGUCGGGCUGGAGGUUUGGAGGGGGGACUGGAAUUCUUGGUGUAGCAGUGAAAUGCGUAGAUAUCAAGAGGAACACCAGUGGCGAAGGCGAGUCCCUGGACAACACCUGACACUGAGGCACGAAAGCUAGGGGAGCAAACAGG